AAAAAGCGGAGGAAAAGAAACCAACAGGGAUUGCCUUAGUAGCGGCGAGUGAAGCGGCAAAAGCUCAAAUUUGAAAUCUGGCUCUUUCAGAGUCCGAGUUGUAAUUUGAAGAAGGUAUCUUUGGGUCUGGCUCUUGUCUAUGUUUCUUGGAACAGAACGUCACAGAGGGUGAGAAUCCCGUGCGAUGAGAUGAUCCAGGCCUAUGUAAAGUUCCUUCGAAGAGUCGAGUUGUUUGGGAAUGCAGCUCUAAGUGGGUGGUAAAUUCCAUCUAAAGCUAAAUAUUGGCGAGAGACCGAUAGCGAACAAGUACAGUGAUGGAAAGAUGAAAAGAACUUUGAAAAGAGAGUGAAAAAGUACGUGAAAUUGUUGAAAGGGAAGGGCUUGAGAUCAGACUUGGUAUUUUGUAUGUUACUUCUUCGGGGGUGGCCUCUACAGUUUAUCGGGCCAGCAUCAGUUUGGGCGGUAGGAGAAUUGCGUUGGAAUGUGGCACGGCUUCGGUUGUGUGUUAUAGCCUUCGUCGAUACUGCCAGCCUAGACUGAGGACUGCGGUUUAUACCUAGGAUGUUGGCAUAAUGAUCUUAAGUCGCCCGUCUUGAAACCACGGGACC
rnacentral:rRNA from 1 species